rnacentral:rRNA from 1 species
CCUACGGGAGGCUGCAGUGAGGAAUAUUGGUCAAUGGACGCAAGUCUGAACCAGCCAUGCCGCGUGCAGGAUGACGGCUCUAUGAGUUGUAAACUGCUUUUGUACGAGGGUAAACCCCGAUACGUGUAUCGGUUUGAAAGUACCUUACGAAUAAGAAUCGGCUAACUCCGUGCCAGCAGCCGCGGUGAGACGGAGCAUCCGAGCGUUAUCCGGAUUUGUUGGGUUUAAAGGGUGCGUAGGCGGUUUGAUAAGUUAGAGGUGAAAUGACGGGGCUCAACCCCGAAACUGCCUCUAAUACUGUUGGACUAGAGAAUAGUUGCGGUAGGCGGAAUGUAUGGUGUAGCGGUGAAAUGCUUAGAGAUCAUACAGAACACCGAUUGCGAAGGCAGCUUACCAAACUAUAUCUGACGUUGCGUCACGAAAGCGUGGGUAGCAAACAGGAUUAGAUACCCUUGUAGUC